rnacentral:rRNA from 1 species
AGUUCAACGGCCGCGGUACCCUAACCGUGCAAAGGUAGCGUAAUCACUUGUCUAUUAAUUGUAGACCUGUAUGAAAGGCAUAAUGAGGGUCUAACUGUCUCUUUUAGUAAAUCAAUUAAACUGAUCUCCUAGUCCAAAAGCUAGGAUGCCAACAUAAGACCAGAAGACCCUGUGAAACUUUAACUAAACUAUUAAACCACAUAAUAGCUCCUUUAGGUUGGGGCGACCUUGGAAAAAAAAAGAACUUCCAAACACACAUUACAUAAUAAUACAAUACAAGGCUAACAAGCCUAUCACGACCCAGCAUGGCUGAUAACUGAACCAAGCUACUCCAGGGAUAACAGCGCUAUCUUCUUCAAGAGCCCAUAUCAAAAAGAAGGUUUACGACCUCGAUGUUGGAUCAGGACAUCCUAACGGUGCAACCGCUAUUAAGGGUUCGUUUGUUCAACGAUUAACAGUCCUACGUG